ACCGUGAUCCAGCCGUGGGCACUAUAGGGAUCCACGUCUAGUUCUGAAGCACCCAGUGCUUCCUGUUCCAUGUACAGUGAGGCUGGCGACGCGCAAGCGGUGCAUCGCUAUAGCAACAUGACGUCAGGAACGGAAGCGGAAGGGAGUGCGACGGCCAUGAACAGGAACCAGGUGUGCGGCGGCGGUGAUCUGCAGGGACCUAUACAGGUAUUUAAAGCAUCUAUCUCUAUGGUGAUGGCAAACUGUUUCUAUAGUUACCAGACCCCUCCUCCUGACCGUGUUGCGUGACGUCACUAUGCCCGCGUCUGGAAGUUAGUCAGGUUUGCUGGAGAGAUAAACAGCACAUGGUGUUAUAAAGAGAAUCACCAUGGUUACCAGCCAGGGACCCGUUUUGUCACUUCCGCAGGAAGUGACAUACCCGGAAGUGAGGGAGGCGGAGCCAGGGAGGCUGAGACUGCGGUGAUGUGCAGUGGGAAGUCU